rnacentral:misc_RNA from 1 species
AUGCGAUAAGUAAUGUGAAUUGCAGAAUUCAGUGAAUCAUCGAAUCUUUGAACGCACCUUGCGCUCCUUGGUAUUCCGAGGAGCAUGCCUGUUUGAGUGUCAUUAAAUUCUCAACCUCACCAGUUUUGUAACGAGACAGGUGAAGGCUUGGAUGUGGGGGUUUUGCAGGCUGCCUCAGUGCUGGUCUGCUCCCCUGAAAUGCAUUAGCGAGCUCAUAUUGAGCUUCCGUCUAUUGGUGUGAUAAUUAUCUACGCCGUGGAUUGGACUCAUGCUUGCUUCUAACCGUCCGCAAGGACAAUUUACUUGACCAAUUUGACCUCAAAUCAGGUAGGACUACCCGCUGAACUUAA